CACGUAGGGGGCGAGCGUUGUCCGGAUUUAUUGGGCGUAAAGAGCUCGUAGGCGGCUCAGUAAGUCAGGUGUGAAAACUCCAGGCUCAACCUGGAGACGCCACUUGAUACUGCUGUGGCUAGAGUCCGGUAGGGGAGCAUGGAAUUCCUGGUGUAGCGGUGAAAUGCGCAGAUAUCAGGAGGAACACCAGUGGCGAAGGCGGUGCUCUGGGCCGGAACUGACGCUGAGGGACGAAAGCUAGGGGAGCGAAAGGG
rnacentral:rRNA from 1 species